AAGUCGUAACAAGGUUUCCGUAGGUGAACCUGCGGAAGGAUCAUUAAAGAAUCGCCCCCGGUUUUUUUUGAAAUGGGGUUCUAUUCCCAAACCGUGUUUACAUACCUUUGUUGCUUUGGCAGGCCGCCGCUUAGGCGUUGGCUCCGGCUGACUGCGCCUGCCAGAGGACCCCAAACUCGUUUGUCUAGUGAUGCUGGUCUAUAUAAUAGUUAAAAA
rnacentral:misc_RNA from 1 species